AUUGAACGCUGGCGGAAUGCUUUACACAUGCAAGUCGAACGGCAGCACGGACUUCGGUCUGGUGGCGAGUGGCGAACGGGUGAGUAAUGUAUCGGAACGUGCCCAGUCGUGGGGGAUAACGUAGUGAAAAUUACGCUAAUACCGCAUACGAUCUAUGGAUGAAAGCGGGGGAUCGCAAGACCUCGCGCGAUUGGAGCGGCCGAUAUCAGAUUAGGUAGUUGGUGGGGUAAAGGCCCACCAAGCCAACUAUCUGUAGCUGGUCUGAGAGGAGGACAAGGCACACUGGAACUGGGACACGGUCCAGACUCCUACGGGAGGCAGCAGAGGGUAGUUUUGGACAAUGGGCGAAAGCCUGAUCCAGCCAUUCCGCGUGCAGGAUGAAGGCCCUCGGGUUGUAAACUGCUUUUGUACAGAACGAAAAGGUUUCUACUAAUACUAGGAGCUCAUGACGGUACUGUAAGAAUAAGCACCGGCUAACUACGUGCCAGCAGCCGCCGUAA
rnacentral:rRNA from 1 species